AUUGAACGCUGGCGGCAUGCUUUACACAUGCAAGUCGAACGGUAACAGGCCGCAAGGUGCUGACGAGUGGCGAACGGGUGAGUAAUGCAUCGGAACGUGCCCAGUCGUGGGGGAUAACGUAGCGAAAGUUACGCUAAUACCGCAUAUUCUCUGAGGAGGAAAGCAGGGGACCUUCGGGCCUUGCGCUGAUAGAGCGGCCGAUAUCAGAUUAGCUAGUUGGUGGGGUAAGGCCUACCAAGGCGACGAUCUGUAGCGGGUCUGAGAGGAUGAUCCGCCACACUGGGACUGAGACACGGCCCAGACUCCUACGGGAGGCAGCAGUGGGGAAUUUUGGACAAUGGGCGAAAGCCUGAUCCAGCCAUGCCGCGUGAGUGAAGAAGGCCUUCGGGUUGUAAAGCUCUUUCGGCCGGGAAGAAAUCGCACAGGCUAAUACCUUGUGUGGAUGACGGUACCGGAAUAAGAAGCACCGGCUAACUACGUGCCAGCAGCCGCCGUAAAAC
rnacentral:rRNA from 1 species